rnacentral:SRP_RNA from 12 species
UGUUGGUUCUCCCGCAACGCUACUAUGUUUACCAGGUCAGGUCCGGAAGGAAGCAGCCAAGGCAGAUGACGCGUGUGCCGGGAUGUAGCUGGCAGGG